CUAUUUCCAGAUGUUUCUAAAGAUGAAAACAGAAUUAAACUCCAGCCUGAUCCGUUUCUGAGGUUCCUGACUCUGAACGUCCCUCAAACGCCUCUCUGAUCGUUUCCUUCCGUCGCUUUUACUUUCGCUUUCGUGAAUGUUGUGGCGCAGUUGAUCGUCUCCAUGUUAAGCAGCAUGGAUCAGUGUGAGGACAGAGAGGAGGGAGUCCCUCCCUCUAAAAGCACUCUGUGUGGGGAACAUGAGAGCCAGACCAAAGCUCAGAGCCCAGAGCUGUGGGGCGUACCAGGCUCAGCUGGACAUAACCCUAAAACUAAUCCAGAACCUGGACCUGAACCCAGCUGUGUUUCCUUAAAGAGCAACAAGUCGAAGGAUAUUAUUUUAAACUUUAACAAAAGACUGUUAUGUGACAAAGAGAUCAAUAAGAGGCCAGAAUCUCCUGGACCUGAACCCAGCUGUGUGUCUCUAAAGAGCAACGAGUCGAAGGAUAUUCGUGUAGACUUUAAAGGAUGUUCUUCUGCUGCUGAGAGAGCUUCUGCACAGUGUGGAGAAAGAUCCAGAAGCAGAGCUGGACUGCAGACAGCCAGUCAGAGCAGCUGUGUACAAACAGAUGUUGGUCUGCAGGAGGUUUUAGAUGAACAUAAGAUCAGUCUGAGGAGGAGAUAUGAACAUGUGACUGAAGGAAGUGAUGAAACAGGAAGUAGAACCCUCCUCAACACCAUCUACACUGAGCUCUACAUCACAGAGGGACAGAGUGAAGAGGUUCAUACCCAACAUGAGGUGAGGCAGCUGGAGACAGCUUCUAAGAUGGACGCCCUCCAUGACGCUCCAAUCAGGUGCCAGGACAUCUUUAAAGCCUUACCUGACCAACAGAGACCCAUCAGAGUGGUUCUGACCAACGGCGUGGCUGGUGUUGGAAAAACCUUCUCAGUGCAGAAGUUCACUCUGGACUGGGCAGAGGGCUUGGAGAACCAACAUGUCAGUGUGGUGGUUCUGCUUUCAUUCAGGGAGCUGAACCUGAUCAGAGAUGAGCAGUACAGUCUUCUGGAGCUGCUCCAUGUUUUCCAUCCAACAUUACAGAAGGUCACAGCAGAGAAGCUGGCUGUCUCUCAGCUUUUGUUCAUCUUUGACGGCCUGGAUGAAAGCAGACUUUCAUUGGAUUUCACCAACAGGAAGCUGCUGUCUGAUGUCACACAGAAGUCAUCAGUCAGCCAGCUGCUGACAAACCUCAUCCAGGGGAAUCUGCUUCCCUCGGCUCUCGUCUGGAUCACUUCCCGACCUGCAGCAGCCAAUCAGAUCCCUCCUACAUGUGUUGACAGGCUAACAGAAGUACGAGGCUUCACUGACACCCAGAAGGAGGAGUACUUCAGGAGGAGAUUCAGUGAUGAAGAGCUGUCCAGCAGAAUCAUCUCCCACAUGAAGACAUCCAGGAGCCUCCACAUCAUGUGUAGUAUCCCAGUCUUCUGCUGGAUCACUGCUACAGUUCUGGAGCACAUGUUGACUACAGAGCAGAGAGGAGAGCUGCCCAAGACCCUGACUGACAUGUACUCACACUUCCUGCUGGUUCAGACAAAGAGGAAGAAGAACAAGUACCAUGAGGGACAUGAGACGAGUCCACAGGAGCUGACGGAGGCUGACAGGGAAGUUCUUCUGAAGCUGGGGAGGCUGGCGUUUGAACAUCUGGAGAAAGGAAACAUCAUGUUCUACCAAGAAGACCUGGAGCAGUGUGGUCUGGAUGUGACAGAGGCCUCGGUGUACUCAGGAGUUUGUACAGAGAUCUUCAAAAGAGAGUGUGUAAUCUUCCAGAAACCAGUCUACUGCUUUGUUCAUCUGAGCAUUCAGGAGUUUCUGGCUGCUGUCUACAUGUUCCACUGUCACACCAACAGGAAGACAAAGGUGCUGAAGAACUUCCUUAAACCAAAAUCUUUAAUUAAGAUGAUUUCCAGUAAAUCCCUCCAGAGUAAAAAUGGCCACCUGGACCUGUUUGUUCGCUUCCUUCAUGGCCUCUGUCUGGAGUCCAACCAGAGACUCUUAGUAGGUCUGCUGGGUCAGACAGAGAACGGUCCAGGAACCAUUCAGAGAGUCAUCAACAACCUGAAGAAGAUGAACAGUGAUGAAAUCUCUCCUGACAGAAGCAUCAACAUCUUCCACUGUCUGAUGGAGAUGAACCACCUCUCAGUACAUCAGGAGAUCCAAGAGUUCCUGAAGUCAGAGAACAGAUCAGAGAAGAAACUCUCUGAGAUCCAGUGCUCAGCUCUGGCCUUCAUGCUGCAGAUGUCAGAGGAGGUUCUGGAUGAGUUGAACCUGCAGAAGUACAACACAUCAGAGCGGGGACGACAGAGACUGAUUCCAGCUGUGAGGAACUGCAGAAAGGCUCGAUUGAGUGUCUGUAAUCUCUCAGAGAGAAGCUGUGAAACUCUGUCUUCACUACUCAGCUCCCAGCCCUCUAGUUUGAGACAGCUUGACCUGAGUAACAAUGACCUGAAGGACUCUGGAGUGAAAGUUUUGUCUUCUGGACUGAAAAGUCCAUAUUGUGAACUGGAAACACUCAGGCUGUCAGGCUGCCUGAUCACAGAGGAAGGUUGCAAGUCUCUGGUCUCAGCUUUUAGCUCCAGUUCUUCCCAUCUGAAAGAGCUGGACCUGAGCUACAAUAACCCAGGAGAGGCAGGAGUGAAGAUGCUUGAGCAGCUAAAACUGGACACUCUGAGGUAUGUGAACCUGGACCCUGCUGGAGUCCGAUGGUUGAGACCAGGUCUGAGGAAGUAUUCCUGUCAACUCACAAUCGACACAAACACAGUGAACACAAAGCUCCAACUGUCUGACAACAACAGGAAGGUGACACAUGUGGAGGAGGUUCAGUCAUAUCCUGAUCAUCCAGACAGAUUUGAUGUUCUUCCUCAGCUGCUGUGUAGAGAUGGUCUGACUGGUCGCUGUUACUGGGAGGUCGAGUGGACGAGGAGGGCUUGGAUAUCAGUGAGUUACAGAGGAAUCAAAAGGAAAGGAAGGAGUGAUGAGUGUGUGUUUGGUGGAAAUGAUCAGUCCUGGAGUCUUUUCUGUUCUGAUCAUUAUUCCUCUGUGUGGCACAAUAACAGAGAAACACCCAUCUCCUCCUACUCUUCCUCCUCCUCCUCCUCCUCUGUCUCUAACAGAGCAGCAGUGUAUGUGGACUGUCCUGCUGGCACUCUGUCCUUCUACAGAGUCUCCUCUGACACUCUGAUCCACCUCCACACCUUCAACACCACAUUCACUGAACCUCUUUAUCCUGGAUUUGGGUUCUGCAUUCAGUGUUCCUUUACAUUUUGGCAAAGAAGUAUGUAUCAGCAGUUAAAGGACAUAUUAAAAAGUAGAGAGGCAAUUUUGAUGUCAGUGACUCUGUGUAGUUAGUCUUACCUGUUAGAGAAACAGGUCAGUCUGUACAUGUCUGUGUCUUUCACUCUGAAACACAUGAUGAGAUUCAUGGAUUCAGUCAGUUGAUGUUUUAAACUAAAUGAUUCACAAAUUAUUAUUCAACACAAGUUUGGUGAGCAGCAGGGCUCAUCCUGAUUUUUGUUUUUGUGCAUUAUAAUGAUGAAAUAACUUUGUCAUGUCUGUGGUGGCCUUUGGAGAAUUAAACCAUCCUUUAGAAACUAGAUAUAAAUGUCAUAUUUUCCAACAUUGAUAUUUUUCUGUGUUUCAGACGACAAUAAAAAGAUAAAGAACAGUCUGUAAAUCAUAAGUUAUCAAUUCAAAUGAUUAUUAAAGCCACAAGAGAAGCUUCCUGUUAUUUGUACCACUCACCUGGUCAUGUGAUCCAGCUGUGCAGCCAAUCAUAACUGACAUCACUUUCUACUUUGAUAUUUCCAUGGUGAAUGGACUGAUUCUUGUUUAACACGUUCAUACUCUGAUGGAUGCAUCGGAGAGGGUUAGUGUCUUGCUCAAGGAUACUUUGUGUGCCAGCUGGAGCAGUCAGGGAUUGAACCACCAACCUUCUGAUCAUUAGAUGCCUUGCUCUAUCUCCUGAGCUACAGCAUCAUCAAAGCUCUUUCUUAAAUCCUCUCUGAGAGGAGCUCAAACACGAGGAAGAGAUGAAAGUGAGGGAAGAGAGUGGACUCAUUAGUAAAAUGAAAAACAGCCAGCGUUGAUGUUUAAGACAAGUGAGGUAACAGAAAUACUAUAUAUGGCAGUGGUCACCAUGGCAACAUCAGUGUCGGUUGCUACGUAUUGUAUUGAUCCUGAUCUGUGAGCCUCAUAUCAGGAUAUGCUGUUGUUUGUAUUUGUUUUCAUUGUUACCAUUUUUGUGUCUUUUUUUAACAAACUCCUUUUAUCUUGCCAUCGUUUGUCAGAGAGUCAAACUAAAUUUGGUUCAUCUUUCUACAAUAAAAACAUAUCUUCAUCUUAA